CAUGAGUGUGAUCUGCGUCCUCAUCUGGACUCUCCUCUGCUGCUGCUUCACAGAGUCCAGAGGACAGGUCACAGUGACUCAGCCUGGAGCAGUGAGCUCCAAUGUGGGAGGAUCUGUCUCCAUCUCAUGCAGAACCAGUCAUGGGGUGGAUGAUGGAGAUGAUCUUUCCUGGUACCAACAGAAAGAUGGAGGAACUCCUAAACUGCUCAUUCAUACUAUCAGCAGCAGAGAAUCAGGGACUCCAACUCGUUUUACAGGCAGUGGAUCAAACUCUGAUUUCACUCUGACCAUCAGUGGAGUUCAGGCUGAAGAUGCAGCAGUUUAUUACUGUAUGGGUGAAUUCAACAUCAACAGCAAAUACUCGUUCACACAGUGAAAAACAGUCGUACAAAAUCCUCCCUCAUUCAGGCUGAACAGAAACUG